UUACGGAUUGUUGGACGCGUUUUCGGUUUUCUUUAAGUGCUUCCAGGAUGUUGUUAUUGUUUAAGUCCGGUCUCGGAGUUGGCGACUGGGUAAUCAACAAGGCACGGCGUAGCCAUUGCAAACUCUGAUAUUUCAUAAGGCGGGUUAAAUGCCGCCGGCCGGUGGAUGAAUAAAAAACAAAUGAGCCGGGAAUUUGUUGGUGCUUUCUGAAGAUGCUGAUGAUUUCAAGUGGAUAUACCCUUAAUAUAUUGCAUUUUUUUUAAUGUGAUCAAAUUUAAUUAUUUCGA